rnacentral:lncRNA from 1 species
CAGGAAAGUGUGAGAAACCCUGUAGUUAUGAAAUGACCAACCCCUGGGGGAUCUUCCUUCCUGACUCGCAUCCUGUGGAGACUAGCUGGUGCUUGAAGAUACUUUCUACCCCAUCCAAAAUGACUGGCCUGCAUCUGUCCCUGCUGGGAUGAUUCUGGAUAUCCAUGCCUGCAUCUGAUCCUUCCCUUGAAGCCCUGCUGUGCUUUCGGCUGCACUGAGGCCUGGUGGCAGCAAGUUCCACAGCUGGGGAGGAACAUCUAUUGCCUAAAUUGACUGGUUUUUUUGUUUGUUUGUUUGUUUCUUUUUUUUUUUUGUUUCAUUGAAUGUCAUGAUUGCUGGCUGGGUUGUAAUUUGAUUCCCUGCCCCCUACUCCUCCUACUCUCCCUUUCUCUCCUGCUUUAGCACCCAGCAGCAGCCAACUGGAAUGGUAUUCAGAUCCUUUCCUUCUUGCCAAUUCCAUUUAAAUUCCAGCUUCUCCACAGAUGGAAAUGUGCACAGGGGAAAUGACUUGCUGUAUCUGUCGAAAAGAAUGAAAAGGCCUUUUUAAGUUGUUUGGUGAUGUUUCCUGACAAGUUUGGGUUUUUUUUCCCUGGAAUUCCUCAGUAUUCUGCAGCUGUGACAUUUGUUUUUUUCAGUUGCAAAGCUCUCUGGAGCUUUGUCUGAGUGGCACUUUCUCCCCUCUCAUCAGCCUUCCUAUGGUGACAUACAAGAAGCCGUCUAAACCAAAGCUGCCUCCAAGGCCCCUCUUGGCAUGAAAGCUGCCUCCUUGAUUUCAGGGAUAAGAUUGAAGCUGCUGAAAAGUUUGAGAGAGACUGCUUGUUUCGAAGUGGUUCUGUCGCUCCUGGUCUUGGAGUUAUGUCAUGCCCAGACCACCACAGGGCUCCAUGAGGAUUUAUAGAAGAUGCCCCGGGUCUUGGCGCCUCUGGUGCUCCUUCUGGUGUGGCUAAUGAAGAUCGCUGCCAGCCCCCACUCCCUGAGGAUUGCACAAAUAAUCGGUCUCUGUGGAAAGUGCAUGCGGGUGCUGUUCAAGAGACAUUUGUUCCAAAGGGCUUUGAGGCAGGGCAUUCACCCCUUUCUGGAGCUGGUGUUUAUUGUUCUUUCUGCUGAAAAACUCAAAUGAAGAAACAUCUUUGUUCAGAGUCUUGGAGCUGCAAGCUUCCUUCUCUGGCCCGGUGGGCAGAACCGAGGGGACUUCUGCGCCGUGGUCUGAAGUGCAACUGCCAGCCUGGAUCUAGCUGGCGAGGGCACCAGGAGUAGCAGAGAUGCAUCAGCGUGGAUUUGUCUCGGGCAGGCUUGUCCAGCCUGUAUGUGAGCUGCUCUCAAUUGAGCCUAUGGAGGUAUGGGUUCUAGUUUUGACCUGAUCCAGGCCAUUAAUACUGUUGCCCCCACCAGCGCUGCUGUGCCCCAUCUUGCCCCUUGCCCUUUUUGCCCAUGUAGUCUGUGAGUUC